GGUGUUUAUUCUCAGAAGAGGUCAAUAGAUGUUAUGAAACACUUGCAGCUGGGGGAAGAGAUUCCAAAACAUGUGGCAAGCAGCACGGCUCUCUCUGCCUGUUGGUAUCACGGGGCAGGACAAGGCAUCCAUCCUCCUGGCUGUGACACUGUAGGAUAGGUAUGCAAGAUGAUACCACGCGGGGAAACUGGGCGAAGAGUACCUCGGCUCUCUCUACAGUACUUCUUACAAUUGCAUGGGAAUCUUCCAUUAUCUCAAAGUAAAAGGUUUAAUUUAAGAAAAACUGCACAGGCAGUGGGUGUACGGUUCAUCCCAGUCCCUUCCCUGCCACCUGUGCAUCUCUUGCUCCAUCUUCAAGUUCUUAGGAAAAAGAGAGCGUUGUUAGGAGUGUAGGAGAGGCUGGACCCCUUCAACCCCUGUGUCUCUGGCUCAUCGGUUAGCCAUGCUGGUUGGAGAGAACUGUCUUGCAGGGAUGGCUGCACCUGAGGCCGUGUUUUUGACCUGGCAUCCUCCCCUUCCCAAGGUAACCUGCUGAUGAGGACUCAUUGCCAGCGGGCACGAAUGCUGUACAAACAACACCUGUUCUCACAUCUUAAAAAAGGAUCACAGAAGUUUGAGACGCAGCCACCUAGAUGGGAGACACACUGACAGCAUGAUCCCAGCACUCCCAGAGAAAAGAAAAGACCCCAAAUGUGGAAUAUUCGUAUUUCCUGUGGGGAUUGUGAAGGGAGAUCUUGGAAUGUGAAAGCAGCCCAUUGUUCAAGCUCAGCACAGAUCCCAGUGAGGAUCUGCAUACAGUAGCAACUCAAUAAACAUUGCAUUUGAAUGAAUGAAUGAAUGAAUGAAUGAAUGAAUGCUGGAUCCCACAAAGCUGUCUUUAAAUGCAUCUCUAAAAAGAGGCUAGAAAGAAAAGUCUUUCACAGUUCAGAGGCCAUUGUAUCUUACUGUUUCCCCAUAACUUGGGCCUUUGUGAUCCGACAGAACUUUUAGGUCAAUGCUUGCAGUCAAGAGGAAGGUGAGUACCACCUCCUCACUGAGGAUACCUUUUUACAAUUGGAGGGGUGGCUUCAAUAGGCAUCCAGUCUGGUACCCAUUGUCACUAAGGAUGCCUCAAUCUUAAUUGCAUAAAAAAGAAAACAGCUGUGUUUGCAGUCAUCUCCCAAAAUGCAAAUGCUCAAUUCUAAAUAAAUGCUUUCACAGGUUAAGUUGUGCAGUCUUGGGGCUACAUCUCACAACUAACCCCUCCCAGCAGAUCCUGAGGGACCUUGGGGGUCAGGAACAGAUAGGCAUCCGUCUCUUUCUCUGGGGUUCCUCCAGAGCUGAGGCUGGUCACAUGUGGUACCUGCUCCCCAUUUUUUUAGGAUAAAAUGCUCUGUCUGAGACUGUUAAAAAAACAGUUAACAAACUGUUAAAAAAAACAAAAAACAAAAAACUAGACAGCAGAUGAUGAUUGACCAUCCUUCAAAUUCCCAUCAACAUUUGCUAUCACAGGACAUCAGGAAUAUUGGUUAAUGGUUGGUCAGGCCCCUAGAGAGAUGGCCACCAAUUAAAGCAAAAGCAGUGACAUAAAGAAAUUCAACUCAUAUUAUGACCUGUAAGUAGGGUGAAUUAUUACUAACCUACCCUUCAAGUCACCAUUCACUGGUUUUGGGGAAAAAUAAUUCAAUGUUCAUUCUAUUUUAAUAAUCAAUUCCAUCUGAUAAUUUCA
rnacentral:lncRNA from 1 species